AUUGAACGCUGGCGGCAUGCCUUACACAUGCAAGUCGAACGGCAGCACGGGAGCAAUCCUGGUGGCGAGUGGCGAACGGGUGAGUAAUAUAUCGGAACGUGCCCAGUCGUGGGGAUAACGUAGCGAAAGCUACGCUAAUACCGCAUACGAUCUAUGGAUGAAAGCGGGGGAUCGCAAGACCUCGCGCGAUUGGAGCGGCCGAUAUCAGAUUAGGUAGUUGGUGAGGUAAAGGCUCACCAAGCCGACGAUCUGUAGCUGGUCUGAGAGGACGACCAGCCACACUGGGACUGAGACACGGCCCAGACUCCUACGGGAGGCAGCAGUGGGGAAUUUUGGACAAUGGGCGCAAGCCUGAUCCAGCAAUGCCGCGUGCAGGAUGAAGGCCUCGGUUGUAACUAGCUUUGUUACGG
rnacentral:rRNA from 1 species